rnacentral:lncRNA from 1 species
UUUGGUAUCCUGUUGACAGUGUAGAUUAAGUCAGAACUAAAACUCAGACCUGAGCAUCACCUAUUAUAAAAUGGCACAAGCAAGAAGCAAGCAGCUGGGAGAAAAGGGAAAGAGGAGAGGCCAGGGCAACCUGCACCCUCCCUCUAUCCCUCAGAAGGAGAGGAAGCAAUACCAGUACCUGCAUUAGGACGACGUCUCAGCCCACCAGCACCAGAGCAAAGCCGAGAUGACCACCAGGCCUACAAGAGGCAAGGAGAAGAUGGGGGGAUUGGGGGUAGGGGAUGACUGCAACACACCAAAAUGAGAAAGAAGCACGAGGAGAGACCAGGAGAUGUGAGACAUAAACGCAUGGAUCCAACAGAUAAUGAAGAUGAGAAAACAAAGGGAAAAGAGAAAGGAAUCA